UUUAAUAGGUUAGACAACGAUUUUGUCUGCUCAGUCUGCUGAAAGAAGGAAAUAUAAAUAGACUGUUGAACCGUUCCUGGUUUAACACCGGGGAUCAUGUGAUGAUUUUGACAAGAGUAAAAAAAAACAGCACAUACUUAUUUUUUAUUGAGGAAGGACAGCAGCGACAGUUGUUAAAUCCAAGGAAUACAUUUUCUACUAUUCACAGCCACCCUUCCUUCCUGACGGAUAACAGCAAUCCUCCUCUUCACAAUUCUAAUCUUAAUUAGAUGUGCCUGAAAUCGUUACCAGCAUCAGAGACUGUCCUUCAAAAAUAUUGUGCAAAGAGGUCCUGUGCCAGGGAGUGUACUGUGACACCAUGAUUCUUGGCUUAUUGACAGAAUACUGGAGCAUGUCAAAAACGUCCUACUAUGAAACUACCUGUAGGAGCCACAUGUUGAGCACUGGCCAUGCCUCCAGGCAGGUCAUCCUAAUCACGUUUUAAACAAUUCAUUUCAACCACUUCAGAAGGGGCUCAAAGUAAAAUUCCAUAAAUCAUAUAGUUUUUAUUCUCUAUAUAUAGUGCGUAUUUAAUCUUUAAAAUCACAAAGUAUAGACAACUGAAGCUGUGUUUUCAGUACAGGUUUUAUUUUUUUUACUGAUCAGAUCAUCUAACAUCCAGUGCAUUUGUAUUUUAAUAACUGCUAAUCACACUUUUUAUAGCAUUUUUUAACACUGAUAAUUUGAGAAAAUUAAUUUUGAAUGUCUGAAUUCAUUGGUGUUGUAUUCCCGAGCAGUUAUUGCAGGCACAUUUGAAGCUCCAGAUAGUUCAAAAUAAUUGCAAAUAAAGAAUGUAUUUUGUUUUAAUUGUGAAUAAAGAAUUUAUCUUGUUUAAGA